rnacentral:rRNA from 1 species
GAUGAACGCUGGCGGCGUGCCUAAUACAUGCAAGUCGAGCGAACAGACGAGGAGCUUGCUCCUCUGACGUUAGCGGCGGACGGGUGAGUAACACGUGGAUAACCUACCUAUAAGACUGGGAUAACUUCGGGAAACCGGAGCUAAUACCGGAUAAUAUAUUGAACCGCAUGGUUCAAUAGUGAAAGACGGUUUUGCUGUCACUUAUAGAUGGAUCCGCGCCGCAUUAGCUAGUUGGUAAGGUAACGGCUUACCAAGGCAACGAUGCGUAGCCGACCUGAGAGGGUGAUCGGCCACACUGGGACUGAGACACGGUCCAGACUCCUACGGGAGGCAGCAGUAGGGAAUCUUCCGCAAUGGGCGAAAGCCUGACGGAGCAACGCCGCGUGAGUGAUGAAGGUCUUCGGAUCGUAAAACUCUGUUAUUAAGGAAGAACAAAUGUGUAAGUAACUAUGCACGUCUUGACGGUACCUAAUCAGAAAGCCACGGCUAACUACGUG